rnacentral:rRNA from 1 species
CCUACGGGUUGCAGCAGUGGGGAAUAUUGCACAAUGGGCGCAAGCCUGAUGCAGCCAUGCCGCGUGUGUGAAGAAGGCCUUCGGGUUGUAAAGCACUUUCAGCGGGGAGGAAGGCGAUAAGGUUAAUAACCUUGUCGAUUGACGUUACCCGCAGAAGAAGCACCGGCUAACUCCGUGCCAGCAGCCGCGGUAAUACGGAGGGUGCAAGCGUUAAUCGGAAUUACUGGGCGUAAAGCGCACGCAGGCGGUCUGUCAAGUCGGAUGUGAAAUCCCCGGGCUCAACCUGGGAACUGCAUUCGAAACUGGCAGGCUAGAGUCUUGUAGAGGGGGGUAGAAUUCCAGGUGUAGCGGUGAAAUGCGUAGAGAUCUGGAGGAAUACCGGUGGCGAAGGCGGCCCCCUGGACAAAGACUGACGCUCAGGUGCGAAAGCGUGGGGAGCAAACAGGAUUAGAUACCCGCGUAGUC